CCUCGCCAUCCAAAGCUUGACGUGUUUGCUUAAGCAAAGUGUUACAACAGGCCACGGAGUGAUGACAUCAAAGGAAACCCUUAAAAGCAGUACAAUCACGUUUUGGUCACGUCGAGGAGGAACCCCUGUACUAUCUGGCAACAAUACUGGACCCGAGAUAUAAGGACCGCUACUUCACCCUUGCAUCAAAAUGGCAGGCAACAGGGCUCCAGACUAACUUUUUUCACUAGGCAAGCAAUCUAAAGCAGCAGGCCAAACACAACAUAGUAAAAUUCCCCAGCGUUCCAUCUACUGCAGGGAUGGGCAACUUUCAUGAUAAAGAGGGCCACAUUUUUCAUCAUAACCAUCGGAGAGCCACAUGACUGCACACUUCAACUAAACGUCGGGCGUCAAGACUGCGACCAUUUGGUCAGACUGCGACCAUUUGGUCACAGUCUGGAGCCCUCAGGUAUGCUGCAGGAAAAGUUGCUUGAGAAUGGUGGUGCCACAGCUGGUACUCCUCAGCAAGAGGAGCCACCAGAAAAGAGGAGCAGGGAAGAUUGGAAUAGCUAAUUGUUGGGAAUGUUUGAGGCAAUACUGGAAGGAAACACUGAUGCUGCCAUUCACCAGCGGAGUGGAUUCAGAUGCA